rnacentral:rRNA from 1 species
AGUCGAGCGAGCGGAACUAACAGAUUUACUUCGGUAAUGACGUUAGGAAAGCGAGCGGCGGAUGGGUGAGUAACACGUGGGGAACCUGCCCCAUAGUCUGGGAUACCACUUGGAAACAGGUGCUAAUACCGGAUAAGAAAGCAGAUCGCAUGAUCAGCUCUUAAAAGGCGGCGUAAGCUGUCGCUAUGGGAUGGCCCCGCGGUGCAUUAGCUAGUUGGUAAGGUAAAGGCUUACCAAGGCGAUGAUGCAUAGCCGAGUUGAGAGACUGAUCGGCCACAUUGGGACUGAGACACGGCCCAAACUCCUACGGGAGGCAGCAGUAGGGAAUCUUCCACAAUGGACGCAAGUCUGAUGGAGCAACGCCGCGUGAGUGAAGAAGGUUUUCGGAUCGUAAAGCUCUGUUGUUGGUGAAGAAGGAUAGAGGUAGUAACUGGCCUUUAUUUGACGGUAAUCAACCAGAAAGUCACGGCUAACUACGUGCCAGCAGCCGCGGUAAUACGUAGGUGGCAAGCGUUGUCCGGAUUUAUUGGGCGUAAAGCGAGCGCAGGCGGAAGAAUAAGUCUGAUGUGAAAGCCCUCGGCUUAACCGAGGAACUGCAUCGGAAACUGUUUUUCUUGAGUGCAGAAGAGGAGAGUGGAACUCCAUGUGUAGCGGUGGAAUGCGUAGAUAUAUGGAAGAACACCAGUGGCGAAGGCGGCUCUCUGGUCUGCAACUGACGCUGAGGCUCGAAAGCAUGGGUAGCGAACAGGAUUAGAUACCCUGGUAGUCCAUGCCGUANACGAUGAGUGCUAAGUGUUGGGAGGUUUCCGCCUCUCAGUGCUGCAGCUAACGCAUUAAG